UUAAGCAUAUCAAUAAGCGGAGGAAAAGAAACCAACAGGGAUUGCCCCAGUAACGGCGAGUGAAGCGGCAACAGCUCAAAUUUGAAAUCUGGUCCCUAGGGCCCGAGUUGUAAUUUGUAGAGGAUGCUUUUGGUGAGGUGCCGCCCGAGUUCCCUGGAACGGGACGCCACAGAGGGUGAGAGCCCCGUCUGGCUGGCCGCCGAGCCUCUGUAAAGCUCCUUCGACGAGUCGAGUAGUUUGGGAAUGCUGCUCAAAAUGGGAGGUAUAUGUCUUCUAAAGCUAAAUAUUGGCCAGAGACCGAUAGCGCACAAGUAGAGUGAUCGAAAGAUGAAAAGCACCUUGAAAAGAGGGUUAAAUAGUACGUGAAAUUGUUGAAAGGGAAGCGCUUGUGACCAGACUUGGGCGCGGCGGAUCAUCCGGGGUUCUCUCCGGUGCACUUCGCCGCGUCUAGGCCAGCAUCAGUUCGUCGCGGGGGAAAAAGGCUUCGGGAACGUGGCUCCUCCGGGAGUGUUAUAGCCCGUUGCAUAAUACCCUGCGGUGGACUGAGGACCGCGCAUCUGCAAGGAUGCUGGCGUAAUGGUCACCAGCGACCC
rnacentral:rRNA from 1 species